rnacentral:rRNA from 1 species
AUACAGGAGGUGCAAGCGUUGUUCGGAAUUACUGGGCGUAAAGCGCGUGUAGGCGGUCUUUCAAGUCCUGUGUGAAAGCCCUGGGCUCAACCCAGGAAGUGCGCAGGAUACUGAUUGACUGGAGUGGCGGAGAGGAUGGCGGAAUUCCCGGUGUAGAGGUGAAAUUCGUAGAUAUCGGGAGGAACACCUGUGGCGAAGGGCGGCCAUCUGGACGUUCACUGACGCUGAGACGCGAAAAGCGUGGGUAGCAAACAGG